rnacentral:rRNA from 1 species
GACGAACGCUGGCGGCGUGCCUAAUACAUGCCAGUCGAACGCUGAAGGAGGAGCUUGCUUCUCUGGAUGAGUUGCGAACGGGUGAGUAACGCGUAGGUAACCUGCCUGGUAGCGGGGGAUAACUAUUGGAAACGAUAGCUAAUACCGCAUAAUAGUAGAUGUUGCAUGACAUUUACUUAAAAGGUGCAAUUGCAUCACUACCAGAUGGACCUGCGUUGUAUUAGCUAGUUGGUGGGGUAACGGCUCACCAAGGCGACGAUACAUAGCCGACCUGAGAGGGUGAUCGGCCACACUGGGACUGAGACACGGCCCAGACUCCUACGGGAGGCAGCAGUAGGGAAUCUUCGGCAAUGGACGAAAGUCUGACCGAGCAACGCCGCGUGAGUGAAGAAGGGUUUCGGAUCGUAAAGCUCUGUUGUAAGAGAAGAACGAGUGUGAGAGUGGAAAGUUCACACUGUGACGGUAGCUUACCAGAAAGGGACGGCUAACUACGUG